rnacentral:rRNA from 1 species
GAGAUCAAAGAAGUUCGCGCGGGCGACAUCGCGGCUGCUAUCGGCCUGAAAGACGUGACUACCGGUGACACCCUGUGUGAUCCGGAAAACCCGAUCAUUCUGGAACGUAUGGAAUUCCCUGAGCCGGUAAUCUCCAUCGCGGUAGAACCGAAAACCAAAGCUGACCAGGAAAAAAUGGGUCUGGCUCUGGGCCGUCUGGCGAAAGAAGACCCGUCGUUCCGCGUAUGGACUGAUGAAGAAUCUAACCAGACCAUCAUCGCUGGUAUGGGUGAACUUCACCUAGAUAUCAUCGUUGACCGUAUGAAGCGUGAAUUCAACGUUGAAGCGAACGUGGGUAAACCUCAGGUUGCUUACCGCGAAGCGAUUCGCGCGAAAGUUACCGACAUCGAAGGUAAACACGCGAAACAGUCUGGUGGUCGCGGUCAGUAUGGUCAUGUUGUUAUCGACAUGUACCCGCUGGAGCCGGGCUCUAACCCGAAAGGUUACGAGUUCAUCAACGACAUCAAAGGUGGUGUAAUUCCUGGCGAGUACAUCCCGGCCGUUGAUAAAGGCAUCCAGGAGCAGCUGAAAUCUGGCCCGCUGGCGGGUUAUCCGGUAGUUGAUCUCGGUGUGCGUCUGCACUUCGGUUCUUACCAUGACGUUGACUCCUCUGAGCUGGCGUUUAAACUGGCUGCGUCUAUCGCCUUUAAAGAAGGCUUUAAGAAAGCAAAACCAGUUCUGCUUGAGCCGAUCAUGAAGGUUGAAGUAGAAACACCUGAAGAGAAUACCGGUGACGUUAUCGGCGACCUUAGCCGCCGUCGUGGUAUGCUCAAAGGUCAGGAAUCUGAAGUUACAGGCGUUAAGAUCCACGCUGAAGUACCGCUGUCUGAAAUGUUCGGAUAUGCAACUCAGCUGCGUUCUCUGACCAAAGGUCGCGCAUCGUACACUAUGGAAUUCCUGAAGUAUGAUGAUGCGCCGAACAACGUUGCUCAGGCCGUAAUCGAAGCCCGUGGUAAAUAAGCCGCAGGGUUAAAAACCAAAAUCCCGUGCUCUCUCCUGAAGGGGAGAGCGCUAUAGUAAGGAAUAUAGCCGUGUCUAAAGAAAAAUUUGAACGUACAAAACCGCACGUUAACGUCGGCACCAUCGGCCACGUUGACCACGGUAAAACUACCCUGACCGCUGCAAUCACCACCGUACUGGCUAAAACCUACGGCGGUGCUGCUCGUGCAUUCGACCAGAUCGAUAACGCUCCGGAAGAAAAAGCGCGUGGUAUCACCAUCAACACUUCUCACGUUGAAUACGAUACCCNAAGGCACGCUGACACGUAGGUGAAGUGAUUUACUCACGGAGCUGAAGUCAGCCGAAGAUACCAGCUGGCUGCAACUGUUUAUUAAAAACACAGCACUGUGCAAACACGAAAGUGGACGUAUACGGUGUGACGCCUGCCCGGUGCCGGAAGGUUAAUUGAUGGGGUCAGCGCAAGCGAAGCUCCUGAUCGAAGCCCCGGUAAACGGCGGCCGUAACUAUAACGGUCCUAAGGUAGCGAAAUUCCUUGUCGGGUAAGUUCCGACCUGCACGAAUGGCGUAAUGAUGGCCAGGCUGUCUCCACCCGAGACUCAGUGAAAUUGAACUCGCUGUGAAGAUGCAGUGUACCCGCGGCAAGACGGAAAGACCCCGUGAACCUUUACUAUAGCUUGACACUGAACAUUGAGCCUUGAUGUGUAGGAUAGGUGGGAGGCUUUGAAGUGUGGACGCCAGUCUGCAUGGAGCCGACCUUGAAAUACCACCCUUUAAUGUUUGAUGUUCUAACGUGGACCCGUGAUCCGGGUUGCGGACAGUGUCUGGUGGGUAGUUUGACUGGGGCGGUCUCCUCCUAAAGAGUAACGGAGGAGCACGAAGGUUGGCUAAUCCUGGUCGGACAUCAGGAGGUUAGUGCAAUGGCAUAAGCCAGCUUGACUGCGAGCGUGACGGCGCGAGCAGGUGCGAAAGCAGGUCAUAGUGAUCCGGUGGUUCUGAAUGGAAGGGCCAUCGCUCAACGGAUAAAAGGUACUCCGGGGAUAACAGGCUGAUACCGCCCAAGAGUUCAUAUCGACGGCGGUGUUUGGCACCUCGAUGUCGGCUCAUCACAUCCUGGGGCUGAAGUAGGUCCCAAGGGUAUGGCUGUUCGCCAUUUAAAGUGGUACGCGAGCUGGGUUUAGAACGUCGUGAGACAGUUCGGUCCCUAUCUGCCGUGGGCGCUGGAGAACUGAGGGGGGCUGCUCCUAGUACGAGAGGACCGGAGUGGACGCAUCACUGGUGUUCGGGUUGUCAUGCCAAUGGCACUGCCCGGUAGCUAAAUGCGGAAGAGAUAAGUGCUGAAAGCAUCUAAGCACGAAACUUGCCCCGAGAUGAGUUCUCCCUGAGACUUUAGGUCUCCUGAAGGAACGUUGAAGACGACGACGUUGAUAGGCCGGGUGUGUAAGCGCAGCGAUGCGUUGAGCUAACCGGUACUAAUGAACCGUGAGGCUUAACCUU